rnacentral:misc_RNA from 1 species
GAUGAAGAACGUAGCGAAAUGCGAUAAGUAAUGUGAAUUGCAGAAUUCAGUGAAUCAUCGAAUCUUUGAACGCACAUUGCGCCUGCCAGUAUUCUGGCGGGCAUGCCUGUCUGAGCGUCAUUUCAACCCUCAUGCCCCUAGGGCGUGGUGUUGGGGAUCGGCCAAAGCCCGCGAGGGACGGCCGGCCCCUAAAUCUAGUGGCGGACCCGUCGUGGCCUCCUCUGCGAAGUAGUGAUAUUCCGCAUCGGAGAGCGAUGAGCCCCUGCCGUUAAACCCCCAACUUUCCAAGGUUGACCUCAGAUCAGGUAGGAAUACCCGCUGAACUUAAGCAUAUCAAUAAGCGGAGGA